GUGGUCUUUGUUGACAAAGCACACGACAAGAUGAACAUAUCAGGAGGCCUGGACAAUACAUGAGAUUAAUUCUGAAUGGACAGAAAACUUAGUGCCUGAUCAGCUACGACAAACGCAGUCUAUCAACAGAAUUUCAUGUUUCCAACCAUAUAAAGCAUACAGCCAUACCCUGUAUGUCGGUUCUUCCAUCUCAAAAGCUCAACAAAGGAAAGCCAUUACAUCACACUACACAGUAAUCUGAUAGCUCGCACCCGAGAGAAGAAUUACAAGAGUUAAUUACACAAAGAAUAUUACUUAUUCUAUAUUUUGAAUACAAGCUGUAAACACUUACACCACCACCCUUUCAUUCCUGUAUGCUAAUACAACCACACCAAUGCAUCGUUAUAUACACAACAAACAAAACAAAACAAACUAUGAAACCCUUGCGGGUGGGCACACUUCAUGCAUAUAGGAGUAGCCAAAUUAUGCUGAGGGGCAUAGCAGGCUUGGUCUUGGGAUUUUAUGCAAACACAUUUCAAAGGCUAUUAAGAAGAGCCCUUUUGCAAGAUGGAUGCUGAGAAGUUUCAGGCCUUGACCCUGGUGAGGUCAGCUCUAUCACAGACAGCAGAAAAUUCCUCUCCUGAAAAGAUUGAAAAAUACAAAUGUGAGCAGCUUUAACAACAUAUUUGUUAUUUAAUUCAGGUACAACAAUAUUUGCAAAUAUGAAUUUCAGGCACAGGUCAUGGAAAACGAAAGCUUACACUAGCAGUGAAUUUGGGGGUAGGCAUGUCGUCUGCAUACGGUUGGAAUGUUGCAACUGUGUGAGCAGGGGACGUGAAUUCCGAAGAUGGAGGCUUACUAUCUUUUGCAACCACAGCAAAACUUGGGGAUGCAAAGUUUUCUACACCUGCUUUAUCUCGGAGAACUGUGUGAGCUGGGGAGGUGAAUUCAAUACAUUGGAGCCUGCUAUCUUCAGCAAUCUCAUUAAGAUUUUGUGGUGCUGGUGUUUCUCCACAGUCUUUACUCUCAAAAUUUGUCAAAACAGGAGAAGCAAACUCCAUACAUUGAAGUCUACUAUCUUCAUCAAGCUCACUCAAUUUUUCAGAUGCUAGUAUUUCUGCACCUGUUUGAGCCUCGAAAAUUUCAAUAUUUGUUCUCUGAUGUGGAUGAAAUAGAAUAUAGAUAAGUAAUGAUAGAUAGUGUAGGUUACCUGGGCAAGGUUCCAUACUUCCAGAAAGCACAUUUUGGCAAAUGCUAUUAUGUUCUUCGCAGUUACCUGCUGGACAAGUUUUCAUCACUUCAUCAGGGGCCAUGUCUGAUAUCACUUCCAUGACAGUUUGCGAAGAACCAAAACACUGCUCAUCAUGAACAUUAAUCUGUCGAUUCUGCUCCCUGUUAAUUGGAAUAACGAUGCAUAAACAUCUUAAGUAAUAUUAUGAAUGAAAGGAUGAGAAAAUAUCCAUCAUUUACCCUGAAUUUUCUUCAUCUUCCUCUUCACUCUCAUACGGGUCUAUGAUUAAAUCAUCAAUAUCUGUUAUAACAGGAGAUGUAGAUUCUACACGUUGAAGCAUGCUAUUGCUAUCUUCAGCAACCUGGUCCUUGCUCGAAUUUCCACAUGCUGGUAUUGCACCUGUUUUGUCAUCAAAAAAUUCAGAUAGCCUUUCUUUGAUGUAGAUAAUAAUCUACCUAAGUUGCAAUUGAUAGCAUAGGUUACCUGGGCAAGGUUCUGUACUUCCAGAAAGCACAUUUCUACAAAGACUAUUAUCCUCUUUGCAGUUAUCUACUGGGCAAUCUUUCAUCAUUUCCUCUGGGACCAUAUUUGAUGUUACUUCUAUGCUAGUUUGUGAAGAACCGUUACAGUGAUCAUUGUCCACAUCAGUUUGUCCAAUGUGCUCGCUUUGCAUAGGAAAUAAUGAUGGGUCAACAACUGAAGCGACAUAUUUGACCCAAAAAAUUAGCAUUUAUUCACAAAUUACCUUAACUUUUGUCCAUCUUCAUCUUUACUCUCAUAGGGGUCUACAAUUAAAUCAUCAAGCUCCUCUAGGAGUGAACCUAUUUCAGACCCACUAUUUUCUGGCACUUCAUUGUGCUCUUUUUUCAUUAAAUGAUCUUGCAGUUGCUGAAAAUGUAAGGGGUAAAAACAGUUACCUAUCAAUAAAGCAACAAGAGUUUUAAGCUGAGAACUUCGUAACAGGAAGUUGGUGCAGCCAUACAUACCUGCCAUGCUUCAUCCAUGCUUUGACUUGUAUUGUCACUUUUUAUUUUUGUUGCAAGGGAGCAAAGCAAAUCAGCUUGCUGCAAUAAAGUAGCAACUUUUGGGUCAUCCUUGUUCAGAAAAUUACCCUCCCGCUUGACACCUGAAAUUAUCAGCACAGAAAUGAUUCAAUCACUGACAUAAGACAUACAAGUAAAAUAAAAUGUUCAGGAACAAGAAUAGUGGACUCACAAUUUUGGGAUUUAACUGUAUUCACGUUAUCUUGGUUGUUCGAAGAAAUGGUAGCAAGAGGUUGCCUGGCAUCUUGUGUGCUCUUUUCUUGUUCAAAUAAUCUCAUAUUUGGUACCAGGUUCUCCUUUAAAUCAGAACUGGAAGACCUUGUAGCAGAAUCAAUAAAAAAGAAGGUCAAACAAUAUGUAGACAUUAAGAAGCUUAUCAUUUAGAAAAUGUAACAAGUUCAGCUUGUGUUUUAUAUACCUCAUCUGCUUAAUAUGUAGCAAGGAGGCAGCUCCGCCUGGUGUCAGGCAUCCUGUUUCUGUGAGAACCCUCUUUGCAUUUGUGUUGGAACAUGGCACACCAUUUUCUUGGUAUAGCUCCUCAUCCUUGGCCCUCCUUUUGCACAGAGUAGAAAAGCGAUUCUUCACUGCAUUGUCAGUUCUGUUGUAACCAAACCCCAAAAUAUAAGCCAUAAACCUUAGUUCACAAAUCCUCAUUUUUAUCCUUUUUUCACCUUGCAAAAAAUAGCAGUCCAAUAAGAAAAACACACCUUCCAGAGACAACUUUUGCAAUUUCAGUCCACUUGUUUCCAAGAACUUUUUGAGCCUGCAUAACAGUGACAAGCUGAUAAGAAUAUACAGUUGGACAGUUUAGAAGCUCUACAGCAAGAACAAACAAUUUUGAAGAUAACGGCAAAACAAACCGUAUAGGAGGUUUCCAAUUCCCAUGUGCCGCCACAAAAUUUACCAAAAUAAGUGCAGACAAUCUAAAGGAUUAGAACUGGUACAACACAAAUCAUAAUAUAGAGCACAAUCUCAAGAGACACCAUGAUCCUUUCUAGGCUCCCUAAUCUAUUAAAGAGCAUAUUGGUCAUGUGUCCUGGUAAAGCACAAGACAAACCUAUUAUUAAUCUGCAAUCAUGCAACAUAGGAUAGGCUCCAGCAGUCCAGCCUAUAUUUUUUUCUGAACUCCUGUCACAAUCAUUUGUGUUGAACUGUCAAAGGUCGCUAAAGAAGUAAAAACAGAGAAGCUUAGGGGGUGUUUGGGACUGCUCUGCUCCACGCUUUUUAGCCAAAUGGUUUCAGCUCUACACACUUUGUUCAAGGAAAAGGGGUGGAGUUGUGAGAGCACCUAAAGAGGUACUCCACAAACUCCAGUUUUUUGUGGAGCUGCUUCACGAUGGAGUUUGUGGAGCAGUUCCAAACACCCCCUUAGCAUCUAAUUCUAUGGAAAUUGGAAACCAUAAGCAUUUGAUGCAACAGUGUCUAGUUUCAAGCAAAUUCACUGCCUAGAUCUAGCAAUUAAGCUGCAGUUAGAAACGUCAAGAUCUCACCUCACACAAAAGCAUAUCCUCUUCCCUGGACCACCCACCUUUCUUGCACUCUGAGUUCAAAUAAUUGUACCAUCUGCAGCAGCAACCAAACAAAUAAAAUGGAAUCAAACAAACAUCCAGACAAAGUUAGGAAUGCAACAAUCCUAACCAAUGUUUCCUCUAUUAGAAGAAAGUGGUGCACACCUUCUCCUGCACUGUCUGGCCGUCUUGUCCUUGAAUUGUGCGGCUAUAAUGGUCCAGCUACCAAAAGGAAAGUAAAUCACAGUGAUUAAAAGUUUAAAACAAAGCAACUAGAAGGAGCGGUUUGAGUCUGCAGAGAAUACUGAAUACAUACUUAUCAGUGCCAUGAAGUGCGAUUUGAGCACGAAGCACGCCAUCCUCCUACAGGGAGAAAAGUGAAACCGUUAGAAAGAAUUCAAUCGUAGAGGAGAAACCGCAGACACAGCCCAAGGUAGCCUGAAGCCCUCAAGAGGAUCAGAGGAGAGCAAAUGUGCAAAAUUGAAAACGUGUUUUCACAAGUUGAUAGAAAGUUAAGUAGGAUUCAGACUGAACAUGCGUACUGGUAAUCAGGAACGGCAUAAUUUUUUGAAUUGAACAGUCAAAAUUAGGUACGGAAUCCAGUAACCAAAGAGAAAAUUCCUUUCUACACGGAUUAGCCCCAGCAAGCGAAAAAAGUCGCCUUCUCUCCUCAAGCAAAAAGAAGCGCAAUAAUUGCUACGUACCUGGGUCCAAUCCCAAACCCGAGGCACCAAAAAAUCAGGGAUAAAGGCACGCACGCAGAAUUGAGCAACUUGCGGAGCACAGUAGCACACAAACACGCCUGGCUAGACAGUAGUACUAGAAACGAACACAGGGCUUUGACGCACCUCGGCGCUCCAACUGACGAUGUGGCGGUCCUUCCUGGCGGCGGCGGCAGCGUCAGGUACGGCCGCGGCCGCGGCGGCGCCGGAGGAGGAGGAGCUCAGAUCGGGCCCGGUCGCCAUGGCUCGGGACACCGCAUGUUCCGCCUGCGGACCCCCCGCCGCGUGCGACGGUGACUGGCGAGCCCGGCCGGCCGGAGGGGGCGGCGGGCCGGGGCGAGGCUAGGGUUUGGUGUUUGGGCGCCAAUGGAGGAAUUUUUGAACUCGGGGUCCGGAGGGGCCGGAAGCAGCCAACGCAGGGGCGGAUGCGGGGGAGAACGCACGGCACGCGACGUGAUGGUUGGCAGAUUGGGUUGCCCGCCCGGCCUGGUGGGUGAGAACUGUGGACAGUGAGGAGGAAGUGAGGAGAGGAAUUUUUUGCAGUGGGGUGGGGUGGUGGGUUUUAAAAGGUGGCCGGUGGCGUGAAUGAGAGGGAAAGUACUGUUGGGAACUGAACUUCGACUGCUGCCACAAAACGGAACGGAACGGAACGGAACCGUGGGACUGCCUGGCGUUCUGGACUUUGGACUGCUGCAGAGUGCAGUGCGGAGUACAGGCUGGAUCAGUCAUCAGUCGUCACUCGAACACGUGACGCAAAGUACGAGUAGAGAAAAACUGCUCUGGAAACCUUAGAUCCUAUACAUUAGUGAUGAAAAUUUUUUUAGUGUCACAUCGGAUGUGUCGGAAGAAUGUGUUGAGGGGUUUUAGAAACUAAUAAAAAAACAAAUUACAUAGCUCGUCUGAAACUGCAAGACAAAUCUAUUAAGCAUAAUUAAUCUGUGAUUAGCACAUGUGGGUUACUGUACCACUUAAGGCUAAUCAUAGACUAACUAGGCUUAAAAGAUUCGUCUCGUGAUUUUUAACCAAACUGUGUAAUUAGUUUAUUUUUUAAUCUACAUUUAAUGUUCCAGACAUGUGUCUAAAAAAUUUUUGGGUGGGCAACUAAACAGAGCCUUAGAAUUUUAAAUCCUGGAGUAGUACCCUUCGGUCCAAAAACAAAACAAAAAAAGUUCUACCAUAUUAUCGACUCAGGUUAUUCAAAUUUGUUCUAAAGAGUAUCAAUAUUAAUGAAACUAUUUUUUUUGUAGAGGAGAACAUAAUUUUUAUUCCAGACUUUACUGAUAAGUUUGAGUUAUUCUUCAUUAGAUGCAAUUAUCACACAUUCACACUACACCUAUUUUGUGUUAUAAAAAUUGAUGUUUCCCAUAAACUUCAUUAAAUUUUAUAAACAUGACUAGAGAUAGAGCUAGAACCAUAUCCUUUUUCAUAUUAUGGAGGUAGUAGUGGUAUAGAUGCAAAUUCUAGUCGUCUCUACAUAAUAUAUUGUACGGUCAGAUCUCAACUCAAGUAGCUAGUAAGUUUUGUACUUCCUCAAGUCAAAAAAUAAAUUAGAUUAGCUUUGUAGUGAAAAACAACAUUUAUAAUACAAUAUAAGUAAAUUAUAAAAAUAUAUUUCAUGGUAUCUCUAGUGAUACUAAUUUGAUAUAAUAAAUAUUCAUGUUAUAUAUGUUCUAUAAUUUAAUCAAACUUAUAAUAGUUUAACUUAUAUAACAACUCAAUAAGUUGAUUUUAUUUAAAGAUGGAUGGAGUUUUGCCUUUGGGGAAUAGUCCUCCAAGAUGCACAUUCACGAUUCUCUUUGAUAUCUUUACCUAACGAUUUCUUAUUAGCUGGUAGCGAGCGUUCUUUCAUUAGGUGCAUAGUGGUAGUGGAGUCGUCCCAUGGUAUCUGGGGGUAGAUUAGUUGCUACUUGCUAGGGUUAACUCCUAAUCGAUAGAACUAGACUAUUAGACUAGAGGGAUCAACAAUUUGUGACAAACAAUUUGAGACGAGGGAUGUCAUCAUUUUUUAUGCUAUUUCUUUUACAUGUUGCGAUAGUGAAAAAAACAUGCAUUGACCUGCUAUAUAUUUGUAAGUUCAAAAGAGAGUAAUAUAAUGGUUGGUUAACUUAGUCAUGGCUCACGAAAGGUAAACGUUUUUUUAUGGGCUGCCAAAAUUACAUACUACCUACACGCAUGGGUUAUAUAUAUAUAUAUAUAUAUAUAUAUAUAUAUAUAUACUUUAAACCCGUGCUUUUGGCGGGCGUGUAUAUAGACGAAGCUACUUUGAGGCUGUCAUUUCUACUCAACCACAUGUGCCUACGGGUACUUAGGGCUUCACCAAUACAGGCUAAUACAAUACAUGCCUAGAUCAAAUUCACAUGCCACAUAGAUUAAACUUUUAAAACUCACAAUGCAGACUACAAGUCGCUUGGUCCACCGUCCAUAGGCCUAUUCCAGAAAAGUACAUUAUUGUUUAUUUCUCUCCCUAAUAGUUUUUUUUGUCUUCACUCAUUCUUUGACAUUCUCAUGGCGACACUAUUGUUGUCGUGUCCCUAACUCUCCUAACCAUGAAGCAAAACACCACCACUAAAAAUUUCGAGCAUUCAACUCAUUAGAUUGAUAAGGACUCUAUUUGCACUACUAGCUAGUAUGUGAAUCGUCCCUUAUCGAAUUAUUACUUUUGAGAUGUGAAUCGAUUUAAAAUUUGACCAAAGUCAUAUUAAAAAAGUACUAAUAUCUAUGAUAUAAAAUAAGUAUUAUUAGAAUAAUUUUGAGUUAUAUGUAUAUAGCAAACUUAGUAAAGAUAUAAUGUUAGUACUAUUCACUAUAAACUAUUUUGGCGGGCAUAAAUACUGUAGGAUUUUUUUUAUAGAGUUACCCUGUAACCUUCUUGCGUGCUUCUAAUUAUUCUUCACUCUUCACGGGUGGCGAGAGCGUGAGUGAACCGGAUGCCGGAUGGAGAAGGUGCCUACUAGCUUUUGUCCAUUUGAGUUUUCCCCCUAAUUUUCUCACGAUGAAUGGGAUUCAUGAAUUGCAUCAUGCAUGCUUCAUGCGAGCGGUGAGUUCGUGUGACUCAUAUUAUGGUCCACGCUCCUGCUAGGCUGCUAGUACUCAUCCUACGUUUGAACAACAGUUUGAAGGAUCGAUACUCUGAAGCCUGAAAGGCCAUGCCGCCUAGCAUAAGAAACUUGUGAAAAUGAUUCAUCGGUGCGCACAAAAUCGUAUACUGUACUCGCGAAUUGCCUUGCUUGAAAUUCAAAAUUCGAGUUUGGAGAGAGAGAGAGAGAGAGAGAGAGGCCUUCCGGUCCUUUUCCUACAUCGCGCCAGCCAGCUAGUUUGCAACUGUAUUCUAUUCUGUAUUCUUUUCUCUAAAAACAAAAGAUCGUCUCGUCCUAUCUCACUCAAACUGUCAAACAGAUGCUAAAUUUUAGAAAUCGUAACGGCGGACGAAGCAGGCAGUUAGCUGGGCUCUUUAAUUUGUUUACUUUUGGCGUCCUCGAUAGUUAAUUGCUGUCAUACUCUAAUGAAUAGAGACACAUGUAUAAAGUACUAAAUAUAGAUUAUUUAUAAAAUUAAAAACAUAGCUACAAAGUAAUUUACGGGUGAAAUUUUUAAACCUAAAUAAUCUAUAAUUAGAUAUUAAUUAUCAAAUAAAACAAAAUAGCUAUAAUACAUGUUAAACUCUAAACAUCCCCGAAGUGUUGUCAAACUAUGAUGGACCCGAGAGUAGUACUAGACUACUUGCUGUAGUAUGUAUAAGUGGCACGUUGACGUAAGAUGCCACACAACAAUCCGGCUGUCCAAUUGUCCAUGCACCUUUUAUGUCAUGGUUUGAAAAACAUGGUCCAUAAUUUGAGCGGGUAAAAUAGGAUUAGCAGUUUGAACCGAGCAGAGUAGGGUAACCUAACCAGCAUAGUUGUCAGUGAAAUUCAACGUUGUGAGUGAUUGCGACAUCGUAGCCAUUCAUUUCAGCUUCAAGAAGGCUCAUUUCAAAAGGUGCUGCAACGGCUAAUCCAGAAACUGAGGUCACCAAUCACUGUGUCACUGUCAGGCUUCAGUGACUUAUUACUAGUAGUUGCACUAAUGCGAAUGCAACCGACUCUUUUGAGCAACAAAACACUACAAGGUCAAAGGGCAGUUGCCACAAAUACCACAAUAACCAACAUUAAGAAGCAGCAUUUGUCAUUUCCGUUUCAUAACUUGAACGGAACAGCGAGUGCUGCAGAAACAUUGUCCAUCCAUAUAUUCUGUUCUGCCUGUUGAAAAAUUCAGGAAAAAAAAAAUGGAGAUGGGACCGCAACAGCAAAGUACCCCUGCUGGGUUUUAUAGGACAGUAGCAUCAUCCGCUUGGCAAAAAGCUAUAGCCAGAUGUCCGUCAGUGCGACUGCAAAGUGGCUUUGGAUAGGGCGGUAGCGGUAUCCUAUUCCCGUCCCACAAAUUGGGGCGCAUGUGCGCUUGCUGCUGCGUGCGUCUGCCACUGCCUGCCGUGCCAUGCCAUCUCUCUUUUGAACUCGACGCCCCUACCGGAGCCGGAGGAGAGGAGGACCGCCGACCGUGGACCGGUCUCAGCUCCGAACACCCAAGUCUGCACUGUAUCCGCUGCACCAGUGGGUCAGAUCGUGUCAGUGCCGAAAGUACCCAGCGAACCGUAUCCUAUGCAAAUCGGCGGCCACUGCAACCCCUACGGCCCACCUCGGUUUGUCCUGGAUCUGCCGGCCCGUUUGGGAUUUUUUGCAAGAACCGCGGUAAUGUUUGGUUGGGAUUAUAAAAUCCGGAUUUUAUUUUAGACAAAAAAUAAUAUCUGAUGUUUUUGGAUUUUGUGUCUGUGUAAAAAUCUUCUAAAAUCUUGUGAUAUUUAGAAGAGAUUCUAGGAGUCUAAGAUUUUUUUAUUAGGAUCCAUAAAAUCCCCGGGUAUCAAACGGGAUCCAAUUUCACACUAAAAUAUAGGAACAGGAUUUUCUUUUCCACAUCCUAGACAAAUCCUUACAGAUAAACUAUUUUCUUUACUAAUUACCGUAGGACCGGUCGUAUGAUCAAAUCGUUUGCUUUGAGGACAGAGAAACAGUGUUGUGCGCAACUUAGGCCUAAGCUAAAUCAAUUUUUUUGGCCACGACUUUUAAAUAUCCUAGCGCUUUUGUAGAUCCGAUCCGUAUAGUCAAGAUGCACAUACAAGCUCUUCUAGGCUCAAGACGUAUAGCGUUGGUAAAAUAACAGUACAGAUAGUGGCGGGGUACUUUUCAUUAAGAAAGACCGGAUAAUAUGAUAAUACUUCAUAAAUGCGAUAAAUAUGAAUGACAAGUGUAUGUCUCAAUAUCUUUUUAAAUGUUUUCACAAAAGUAUUUUGUAUUUAUAACACAAAUCACAAUAUUAACAUACAAAAUAGGUGAAAUGAUAUUUUUUUGUGCUACAUAAUUAAAAUUUUUAUAAUAUAUCAAAGAACUUUCACUGUUUUGGGGUGCCUCCCCUCCCCCGUUCCGCCACUAAGUACAGAGCGCUAGUCUCUCGAACGUCUAAGAACCUAACAAAAAGAGAUAAUUCUUUGUGUGGUACUAGAAAAGAUGGUAUAAAGAGUUCAUUUUAAUUUUAACUUCUAUAAAAGUUUUUACAAUUUUUUCACUCUAGUAGAAUGCUAAAUUUUUCCCAAUAUGUCGUUCCAUGUAUUUUAUUACUUAAAUGAUUCUUUCCGCACAUGCGUGACUUCCCACUUGUUGAGCGAUGGGAGAUGUCGGUUGGAUGGUGUCAACAACGACAACGGCAAUCAGAGAAGAAGAAGAAGAAUAUGCUAAGAUUAGUGUGGUGGCGGAGGCGGCAAUUCACUGGCGGAGCACGGGAGAGGGUCAGGAAGGGGCGCUCAUGCUAUAUUUAAAACAUAGGGUUUAGAUUAGGGUUGGUUGUGAUCGAAGACGACAGUGGAGACGUCAUGAACAUUGCUGGAGCCCCGCGAGAUGAGGAGGCGACGGGGGAGUGCAGGAGGAAGAAGAGGAUGUGUGCGGGUGGAAGGAUGAUGAGGUGUGCGGCCGGAGUUAUGUGCACCUGCACAUGCUGGGCGUAGCCCGUAGUAAAGUUCACAAAGAGGAGUGCCGCAUUUCAGGUUGUAUAUAAUACCCUUACCACCGAAUGGAGCAACAUCCCAGUGUUGGAGUAUGAGGUUGUUUAGUUUCAGGCUAGUGUUGACCACGCCACAACCACACUUGCCAUAGCCGCGGUGGCCAAAAGCUCCGCCACACUCUGCCACACACUAGAUGACAAACAUAAGGAGCAAAACGACUAGACAAAAAGUUGUGGCAGUCGAAAUAUAGACAAGAGCCAAACAAUAACUUUUUUACCGUGACAGCCACAGUUAGCGCGUGACGUGUUUGGGCUGGCAACCAACACGCCUAUAUCAGGUAUUGGCCGUUCUAGUUCUAACAGUUUUGUUCUCGAGAACACGGAGAAAACGUCUAGUAGCGAAGGCAGUCGGGUGGCAACGAACAGAAACCAUUGGGGAAUUAAUUGAGAUGCACUUGCAUGCUAGGCAACAAGGUUUUAUUAUUCCAACAAAUAACACGACGCUAUUAACAUGCGGGUGGCAUGAUGUGCUGGGGUAUUAACACGACGCUAGCGAGAUGUACGCUAACUGAAAGGGAAUUCAUUCGGACAAAGUCAUCAACAAGGCAAAGUCCAAAAAACGAAGCCAGAGCGCGCGCUAAGCUCCUCCCCGCGCUCACGCGUCCACGACCUCAUCGUCCUUGGACGCAAUCACGAACUCCUGACGCAACGCCGGCGACACCACCUUGAUGGUCCCGUCCACGGCGUUGGGCCUCCCCAGCGCCUUCAGCGCCAGGUGCGCCGCCUUCUGCCCGGAGAUCAUCAUGGCGCCGAACGUCGGGCCCUGCAACAAAAAGAUUAUCAGUUCCUCGAUCGUUCAGCGAGUGGUUCUAACACGCAAUUAAUGCGCCCCAAGAGCCCAAGAGUAUUAAUUAAUUCCUCUCACCAUCCUCGGGGCGCCGUCAAUCUCGGCGACCUCCAUGCCGGUGACGAUCAUGCCUGGCACGACCUCGCGCGUGAGGCGCACGAUCUCGUCCUCGGCGGUGUUCAUGUCGAGUGCCUUCAUCCCGGGCACGUCGCUGAUCAUGCCGAUGUCCUGCAGCCUCUUGACGCCGGUGGCCCCGAACGGCCCGUCGUGGCCGCAGGAGCUGACCACCACCUUGGCCUCCAUCACGUUUGGGUCCAUGCACGACUGCGUGUCGUGGUUCAUGGACACGAGCGCCCAGUUGGUGACGACGCCGCCGACGCGCCCUCCCUUGACGAUCAGGUCCUCCACGGCGACGGCGUUGAACAGCUUCACGUUGGGGCGCGCCAGGAGGCGGCUCAUGACGGUGGACGUGAAGAGCGCGGCGUGCUUGAUGACCACGUAGUCCUCGGCCUCGUCGUAGGCGACGCCCAGCUCGUCAAGGAACAGGUGCGCCGGCUUGCGCACCACCAUGGCCGAGAACAGCUGCCCGCCCAGCCACGCGCCGCCGCCCGGUGACACCGACUGCUCCACGAUGGCGAUGCUCACGGACGGGUCCUUGGAGAGCUCGUACGCGCAGGAGAGCCCCGCGGAGCCGGCGCCCACGAUGACCACGUCCGUGUCGGCGUAGGUGAUCAUGUCCGUCAUGUACCGCCGGGUCAUCUCGCGGGAGACGACCGACUCCUUGAUGGGGCUGAACCGGAAGGACGUCAGGUCGUAGGGCGGGUUCGAGGAGGAGAUGGACGACGCGCGGAUCGCCCCGGCGCCGCGCGGGGUGGCCACGACGGCGGGCGACGACGGCGUGCGCGUGGACGCCGGGAGCCUGGCGCCCGCGAAGGAGGACUUGAGGAGGCUGGACGCGGUGGUGGCCAUGGCUGAAAGUUUCUUCUGCCUGCAGGGUAUGGAAGGGGAAAUGAGAGUGGCUGGCUGCAGUGGCACUAACGGCAAGGGUUUAAGAAGGGGAACACGGAGGCUGGCACGAACAAAAUAUCUUGGCUAACCGCCGUGCAUGGCUACGUGCUACCAGAUGGGGCGUGGUUGGUCACGGGCACCGGAUCGUUGGCAGCAGUGUAGCACCCACCGUCCACCGAGACAUCAGCUGGUUCCGGCAGAUAUUUUGGAGGGCGGGUUGAUAUUUUGGCUACCAGAAAGGGAAAGGAAGGACACGGCCGUCGGGGCCUUCUUGUUCGUCCGUGCCAGAGCUCUCGCUCUCUUCCUUGUUUUCUUGUUCACCGUUGGACUCGUCAACUCGUCAUCACCUGGGCCAGUGUGCUAGCAGCCCGUGCACACCAGCCCGUAUCGAGCGCCAGGGAGAGGUUGUGGUUCUUGUGGAGCGCGGCGACGACGACAUGAUUGGCCGGUCCCGCGGCCGCCGCCGGCGCGCGGCCAAUGCAGCGGAGGCAGAGCAGUAGAGCACCGUUCACGGGGGAUUCGCACGUGGGUCCCCUGUGCAUACAUACAGAGAGAAAAGGAGCGACAGUUUUGGACCUUUGGGUGGGCAAUCACAUCGAAACGGUGCUAGGACUUGUUUAGUUCCAUCAAAGUUCAAAAACUUUUCAAGAUAAAAGAAUCUAUAAUUUACAAAGACGAAUUUUUUUAAGUCUAAUUAGUUCAUGGUUGGACAAUAAUUAUCAAAUACAAAUGAAAGUGCUAUAGUCUCUAAAUCAAAAAGCUUUUAGAUCUAAACAAGGCCUGAAUCUAGGGAUGAAAACAGAUCGGAUAUAGCCUGAAUCCCGGUAUCAUAUUUGUUUUUAUAUUUCUGGUUGGAUUCGGAUUCGAAUACAGAUAAUGUCAAUCUUGUCGGAUAAAAUAUGAUUGUAUGCCGAUAUCAUAAAUAUACGAUUUAAGUAUUCGGAUAUGGAUACAGUAUCACAUGUUGAAUAUUCGGACUCGAAUAGGACAGAUAUAAACCUCUCUAAACGAAUUUAAUCUCAAAUACGGUCGAAAAAUAUCAAUACUAUUUUCAUUCUGAAUCACAAGUACUCAAGGUGGAUUUUUGGAAUUAAAUUGUUGACUCAAUAAUUCUCUCACAUGGAUCGCUGGAUAAAUCAAUGGUUAUGAGGUCAUAUCUGUACAGGAAAUUGAUUUUUGUUGAUUGCAUGAUUUUUUUCUUACCAAUCUCAUAAUGGAUUCAUCAAAUCUAGAACCAUAUAAGAUUGUGAUGUCUGGUCUUGAGAGUACUUGCACAUGUCUGAAGUUACAAAGCGCCGCGGCACGUAAACUUCUUCUUUUGGCUCACUCUGCAUCGUCACUUGUGGACGACUGAGCAGAGGAAGCGCCACGGGCUACAAGAUGAUGACUCAUGUGUGCUAUGCAGCGAGGAGCUCAAAGCCACCGAUCAUCUCUUGUUGGGGUGUGCAGUCACUAAGUAACUUUGGUUCGCCCUGCUUUCUGCUCUUGGUUUUGACACGCUCGCACCGGCUCAAGAGAACACGCUCGUCGAUUGGUGCCUGCGCUGCAAGAGGAUGUUGACAACUGACUCUAGGCCGAGCUUCGACGCCAUCAUGCUCCUGGUCACCUGGUCUGUUUGGAAGGAACGCAACAACAGAACGUUCAACAGAGCUUCAGGGAGUCUCCAGUCCAUGGUGUUGGCAGUUCUCCGUGAGGCGGAGGAUUGGAUUGCGGUCGGAUUUCUUCCUAUUUGCGACGCUUAUGUCAUUUGGUCGCACUUUCAUUUUUGUGGUGUAAUAACAGCCUCAUUAGAAUCCAGUAGCUAGGUGUGUCUUCGUUCGUUGCCAGCGUCGGGAAUGUGUGUGGUUGCUCGCCAUUAACAACCCAACACCUGUUGUCUUGUCAAAUUCUAUUUCCUCUUAAUGAAAUACGAGUACUAACCCGGUCAAGAAAAAAAAGUUGAGCAUGAUCUAAUGAUUCAAGUUAUGCAGCAUAAAGGGUUCCCUACUAGAUGGCUUGAUUGGAUGAACGGAAUUAUGCUUCGGGUUCUAUUCUAAUCUGUUUUCCUCUCAGAAGGUUUGCUCAAGUGUUCCUUGUCCUCGUUUGGCCGUGCCCGCCACCAAAUGUCAUCUGGUAGUUGGCCUGUGGGUCGGGCUACAAGAUGAGAACCAAACACAUCCUACAUCAGGCCUGGUUAGAAUGGGCCAGGGAACCAAACAAGAUAGGGUGGCCCGUCUUUACGUAAGCUUUGGUUGGCCACGUCCAGGAUGCUGGCCCGCGCUGGCCACAGCCACCCUUCACAACGCGACCAAAGAGAAGAGAAGCGAUGCAUCCAAGCCGAUGCCGUAAAGAUACAAAGGUGGAGAGAGAAUCGAGGCCAGUACCAUCCGUGCGUGUGUGGCUCGGCCCAUUAACAUGCGGUGCUGAUGAGGUGGAGAAUUAAAAGACAAAUAAAUAAAGAGAAAUAAAGAAGAAAACCCUUUCAACCAUAAUGCCAGUCUCAAUGCAUAGUUUCGUAACACAGUUACUAAGACUAUAAACAAGGUAACUGAGCCAUAUGAGUUUCAUGAGGAUAAAACUACUAUCUCAUCUUAUGAAACUCCUUCAUUUAAUGACCCUGUCAAGUCAGCAAUUUUAUUUAUAUGUUACUCUAUUUAAUAUACAUGACACUUUUAUGAAACAUGCAUUGAGACUGACCUAAGGAGAAGGUGUUUACCACAUCGCAAAAAAAACAGAGAGAACGUGCUUACCAAACGUAAUUUUUUUUAACUAAUGAAGUUGGAGCCAAAUGACGACCAAAGUGUUGUGAUCCGAGGUGAUGGUGGGGGUUUGUGCCCGGCCGCUACAUCCGCCUCUGACUGGUACAGUAGCUGAGGCACUUGAACAACUCGUACCGAUGCUCGUCGGUUUAUUUCUAUGGCUUUUCCAUACUUGGUGAUGCUGGUGCCAUCCAUCCACAAGUGACCAUCUGCAUCCAUUGUUGGCCCGUAAAUCUGUGACCUUCUUGAUGACACGAACGAACUGGUGACUGGACCCUCGCUGAGGUAGUUUUGGAACACAAUCGCUGGCCUAGAUUCCAUCCACAGCGGUGUUGUUGACCGUGUGCUACCUUCGAUCCUUGUUGCCUCUGUUCUUGUUGGCUCUGUGCUGCCUUCUGCGGAUACUGACACCGAAUCUCCCGUAGUCGACGCAGCUGGCGGGAACAAAUUAACCUAUAAUAUUGUUAAAAAAGAUUAACAUAUAACAAUUUGAUAACACAGAAUACUGAAUUGUUUUUUUCAGAGUAGUACACACAUUGUGAGAGGGGGGCAAGCAAAUUAAACAAAAGAGCACGAUCGAGUACCUACCUUGAUACUGCUCGGAUGGAUGAAAAUAGUGGGGAGCGCUAGGUGGGGAGGCGGAACUGCGCUAUACACCCCGUGUGAUGCCUCCUCCUGCCUCGAGAAAGCGAUCGGGACGGUCGCUUCGUCCCUGAAGACGAUCACCGCCAUGCCCAGGUGUCGGCACAAGGCGAUCGCCUCGAUGGCGCCGAACCGCGCCAGAUCGGCGCGCAGGUCGUCGUCGCCAUUGUCGGGGAAGAACAAGUCGAGACGCUGGGCGAGGAUGCUGCGGCUAUGGAAACUGGCCGGGUCCCCGGAGAGUUGGCUCCCUGCGGCUGCGGCUGCGGGGGCCAGGAGGUCGCGCGCCAGGGUCGCCCUCUCCACGACGUGACCGUACAUGCGCCGUAGGUUUUCUAGGGUCACCAUGUUUGUUUCUUGGAUGGAUCUCUGCUGGGUGCCCUUACUCUUGGGUCUGCGACUCUGCGUGUUACGCGCGUGCAUGCGUGUAUAUAUACACAAGUACUACUAGUAUAUGCGGAGGGCAUAGGCAUCGGAUCGGACACGGAAACAGACUCCGAACCAGAGAGAACCUCGCAUGCUAACGGACUACAUACGGUGGGUGUAACAAGAUAUAGUUUAUAUUUCAAUAGCAAAACAUUUAAAACAUCAAUAAGAGUGUGGAUAAGUAUUUCAACAUGUACAAAUAUUUAAAUCAAUUAAUAAAUUUGAAUAUAUAAAAAUAAUGCAUAACGAAUAUGUAAAUAUAGUAAAGUACUUAAAAUUAGUAUGACUAUACAUAUUAAAGUUAACCAAACUUGUCCUUUAUAUAUCAUAAACUAUGAUGUUAUUUUUAAUAGUUUUGCAUUAUCAUAAAUAUAGGUUUGAAAAUUAUCAAAAAAAAAAACUUAACAUUUAUGAUUAGUCAUAUUAGCAAUAUAGUUAACUUUUAAAAAGGUUUAAAUGAGUUAUAUUAAAAAAUAUCAUUUACACUGUUAAUUAGUCAUAAAUAUAAGGUUCACACGGUACAUUGUUCUUCAUGGUAUAGAUAACAUUGGAUAUUUUACAUUUUUCAAAUAUGGAUGUGGAACUAGAUAGAGAAGAAUCAUGAAAAACAUAUAUUUGAAUAUAUCCAUCUAGUAUCCAUAUUGAAAUCGGAUACAAAUACAGAUAACCAUAUCAACAUUCAGACUGAUAUGUAUAUAAGAUCUUUUGGACAUUUAGACAUCCAAAUCCAUCCCUAAAGUUGUCUUAGAAAAUCCAAGAUGCUACAUAAAGAUUCUAAAAUCCAUGAUUUAGUCAUUCUUCUAAAAUAAAACAUCCUAAAAAACCAUAGUACUACAACAAUCUUUAUAAAUUUCCUAGUUUCAAAAUUUAAAACAAGCCCGACGCACCCAUGGCGCUUGGCGCAUAGUCUAGCGCCUACGGUAAAGUUUAUUUUGCCCUUAGACCAGUCUCAAUGCAUGUUUCAUAAGAGUGUCAUGCACAUUAAAUAGGAUGCCACAUAAGCAAAAUUACUGACUUGGCACGGUCAUUAAAUGAAGAAGUUUCAUCAGAUGAGAAGAGUUUCAUCCGCAUAAAACUCAUAUGGCUCGAUUACCUAGUUUGUAGUUUUGGUAACUGUGCCAUGAAACUAUGCAUUGAGACUGGCCUUACGGACAUGUGCCCUCACUCUCCCACCCAUUGAAUUCGCUUUGAGAAGUGUGCAAACGCACAUCUCAAUGCGAAACUGUUUUAAGAUGUGUGUUUGCACACUUCUCAAAGCAAAUUUAAUGGAUGAGAGAGUGAGGACAUGUACCCUUAGGCUCAAUACAUAGUUUCAUGGUACAGUUACCAAGACUAUAAACUAGGUAACCGUACCACAGAAGUUUUAUGGGGAUGAAACUCCUCUCUCAUCUGAUGAAACUCCUUUAUUUAAUGACUCUGUCAAGUCAGCAAUUUUGUUUAUGUGGCACCCUAUUUAAUGUGCAUGACACUCCCAUAAAACAUGCAUUGAGAAAAAAAAACCGCCUUCAUACAUCUACAAGCUCUUCAAUGCGACCAACGUCCCGGACCCGUGUAUGAAGUGAACUAGGACUAUAAAUUCUAGCAAACGAAAUCGAACAGAAGAAUUUUCUCUAUAUUCUAGCAAAGGCAUACAAGGGAAACUACAAUAUCUUGUCAGGGACAGAAAAGGCAGCUCAAGUGUAAUAUACGGUACGGCAGUACGCACGAGAUCAUUUAUCAUACACGUGUACGAAAACUACAAAAGGAAAAGAUGGCUGAGCUUCAGUUCACUGCAGCAACUGGGCCAUGACAUCUUGAGCGAUGACCCCAGCGUGGUGAGCAUCAGGCACUCGACUACACUCCACGAACCCAAGACCUGCCCAGGUAUUCUGAGGCUCCCUUAAUAGCCUGGCUGCACUGUGCCAACAUCUGAAGACAGCCAACGCCAAUCCACUCUUGUCUAGUGCCACAUUGUAUAGGUCACCAAACACAGAAAGUCUAACUGAGAGAUCAAAACAUGAAGUGCCCUCAACAACACCUGAUAGAAGCAAGGAUCUCUCCGGAAAGUCACCUCUGAGAACAGAAUCAGGGGAUACCAGAGUGCAAGACCUGAUAAGACAGUGGAGGAUCCCAAUAGUGUCACCAUCGCCAAGUCUCGCCUCUUGAUCAGACAUCCAGUCUCUCACGCGUUGAAACGCUACAGUGUCCAUCCAGUACCUCGCCUCCAUCCUGUCGGACUGCUGCUCAGGAGAGAUAUCAGAAGAUGCUGACUCAAAUCCAAAGACACUUGCGAAGCUAGGUUUCUGUCCAAAGAAACGUAUCCAUGCAUGUCUCCUCAGGUGUUUGUAGCAAAUACAUUGUGUCCUCUGAGCUUCCAAGCACCACAACAAUGAGUCCCUCUGACCGGUGGAUUAUCACGGCCUCAACUGUGUGAACAAGAUCGGUUUCAAACCGCAGGAAGUGUGCAAGGUCUGCUGCAUCGAGCUUCUGCGUAUCCAGCCCAGUGAACAGGAGCACGCGGCGCCUGUAACUCUCGUCGUCGUCUAUGACACACUGUGGCAGGAGCCGCCGGAGCAAGGUGGCAUCUCGGUCAGCAGGAUCAGCAAGUAAUGGAAAGAGUGACGAAUCAAACAGCUGAAGUCCCCUCUUUUUCAGCAAAUGAGGUGCCCUCCGGGCCACCAGCUCCGUGCUCUCGGUGUCAUCGUACACCAGGACGCCGGCUUGUCGAUCCCUGUGGACGAUUGCGGCAACCACAUACCCCCGAGCAAAAAGCACCUUCCAUGCCAAGUCACAUAAUCCAUAGGCUCCUUCGCUGAUCGGGGAUCUGCCAGCUCCAAUAAGAACGCAUCUCAGGUGGAACUCCCCAUCUUCAUCAGCAAGAAUGUACUGGGACGGUAGAAGCGACCGGAGCAUUCUGGCUGUGCAUCUCCUCACGAACUCGUCGGCAACACCGUCGAGGAUGUAUGAGCGUGAGACCUCCUCGUCGUGCCAGGUAGCCUAUUCAGUGAGAGUCAGAGACAAUAUUUCAGUUUGAAUGGAUUGUGCAUUAGACAGUAUUUCAGUUUUCGAAUGGAUUAAGCAUCAGCAUUACUGUGACGUUCAGAAUUGAUAGACAGACACACAAAAGGGUCACGGGAAGAUGACAGUGAGGACUCACCGGAGUGCAGGUGGCAUAGAGACCUUCGCGUGGUGUCUGAAUCGUAGCUGCAGCACUGUCAAUAGCAUCAAAGAAGACUAGAAGCCCAAUCCUGAAGCCAGUCUGGCUGUCCCGUACUAAAACUGCCGUCUGCACACCCAGUAUGCUCUGAAUCAAGUCGCACGGACUGACACUGGCUGGAACGCCGUCAAGCAGUAGACAUCUCUCAAGAAAGUGGGGGUCCUCCAGUACUUGUGGUGCCACGGUAUUCAUCAGGACUGCGAUCAAAUCCCUCAUGUAGCUGAAAGCCCGACCUUUCCUCUGCAAUGCAAUCGCGCGAACAAACGUCAGUAGAGCAAAACUGAAUGAACGAAACUGCAGUGACGGUCGUUCGACCGGCUAAAAGAAAGUAAUUCACGGAGCAAGAACAACACUGCAACAGCAGUUUGCAGGGCAAGAAGCCAAGAACACGGGGAGAAAAGAUAGCAAACAGCAAUUCGCCGCGAAUUCAUGUUCCAUUCAGUUUUGGAAUGAAUUAAACAUCAGCAUUACUGUGGCUAGUUUUGAAUGGAUUGUGCAUUAGACAGUAGUAUUUCAGUUUUGGAAUGGAUUAAGCAUCAGCAUUAUUGUGACUUUCAGAAUUGAUAGACAGACACACAAAAGGGUCACGGGAAGAGGACAGCGAGGACUCACAGGAGUGCAGGUGGCAUAGAGACCUUCGCGUGGUGUCUGAAUCGUAACUGCAGCACUGUCAAUAGCAUCAAUGAAGAUGAGAAGCCCAAUCCUGAAGCCAGUCUGGCUGUCCCGUACUAAAACUGCCAUCUGCACACCCAGUAUGCUCUGAAUCAAGUCGCACGGACUGACACUGGCUGGAACGCCGUCAAGCAGUAGACAUCUCUCAAGAAAGUGGGGGUCCUCCAGUACUUGUGGUGCCACGGUAUUCAGGACUGCGAUCAAAUCCCUCGUGGAGCUGAAAGCCCGACCUUUCCUCUGCAAUGCAAUCGCGCGAACAAACGUCAGUAGAGCAAAACUGAAUGAACGAAACUGCAAUGACGGUCGUCCGACCGGCUAAAAGAAAGUAAUUCACGGAGCAAGAACAACACUGCAACUAUCUGCUUAAUGAAAUACACGUCUUUGGCGUGCUCUAAAAAAAAUAAAAAUAAAAAGAACAACACUGCAACAGCAGUUUGCAGGGCAAGAAGCCAAGAACACGAGGAGAAAAGAUAGCAAACAGCAAUUCGCCGCGAAAUCAUGUUCCUUUCUUUCUCACCUAGCAGGGGCAAGAACAACACCGGGAACCAACAGCAAUUCGCGGCAAAUUCUCUCCCUAUCUUUCUCGUCGAGGAGAGGCAGAAGAACGAAAGCCAACAGCGACUCGCGAGCAGUUCACCGCGAAUUCACCUCCCUUUCUUUUUUUUCGCCGAACAGGGGCAAAAACCGAGGAGCAAGGCAGAAUGGAACGAACAACAAUUCGUGACCAAUUCCUCCCUUUCUCUGACGAACGAACAACCGUAAGGCAACAGCGAUUCGCGUGCCAAGAACACGACGUGCAAAGCAGAAUGGAACGAAGACCAGUUUACCGCGAAUUCAUCACCUCCCUUCUUUCUCACCGAGCAUGUGUAAGGACAACACCGGAAGGCAACAGAAAUUCGCGAGUCAAGAACACGACGGGCAAAACACAAUGAACAAACAGCAAUCCACGCGAAUCCUUUGCCCUUUCCUUCUUGGCGAGGAGGGCAAGAAUAACCGGAAGGCAACAGCGAUUCGCGAGGCAAGAACACGACGCGCAAAACAGAAUGGAACGAACAUCAGUUCACCGCGAAUUGACCUUCCUUCUUUCUCACCGAGAAGGUGCACAAACAACACCGGAAGCCAACAGCAAUUGCGGGUCAAGAACAUGACGGUCUGAUACAGAAUGAAGAAACAACAAUUCAUGAACUCCCCUCUCUUUCUUGCUUCGCGAGCAGGGCAAGAACAACAGGACGCCAACCGCAAUUUGCGAGGCAAGAACACGACGGGCACAAAUUCGACGCGAAAUCGCGAAUUCCUCUCCCACCGGGCAAGAACACGGCGGCCAAAAGAGCAAUGAACACGAUUACACGACCGGCAAGGAAACAACAGGAGAAAAGAAGAGCAAGAACGGCAAACAAGAAGACCGGAGGUAGGGGAAAGCACCUGUCUGGAAUGCCACAGGCCAGAGAGUAUGACGGGACGCGCACGCGCCGAAAUGGCACCGGCCGGAGGUGGGCGAGCCAUCUUCACCGGAGAAGAGAGCUUCGGGUCGCUGGAGAGGAAGAAGGCUUCGGAGGGUUUCUUCGGGUUUUCCCGUGAGGUUUGAGAGGUCGUGAGAGAGGGAAAAACAGGGGUUGGCGUUCUGUCUGGGCUCCGGCUUUUGUUUGCCAAACCGUCUUUCCCUGGAGAGAGGCCGAGGUGGCCUGAACGGAGACGAUGGAAGGGCCUAGAAAGCAGCCCGAGGUAUUCAUGUUCUGAUGUUCAUGGGCCCAAUUUGGUAUGGUUCCUGCCCUGAUGUGACUGGAAUGUGGUUUUUUUUUAAAGAUUAAGCGAUGGAAUGGUUUUCUUUGGUUAGUGGCCUGAAGACCGCAAGAGGCAUCCUGAUGUUGAAUGGCUUGUGUACCAUCAGGCUUCAGUGACUUGAAGACCGAAACAGAGGCAUUCAGUAUGAACAAUUGUGCUUAAUGUAAGCAAUUGCUGUAGUUUCGUAUGCAUUACUGUCCAGAAACUGGAACUGUAUAGGCCCGUCAACCAGCCGCUGUAUGGACUGGUUCCGCUUUUAUCUUUCCUUUGCACAAAAUUCAGUAAAAUGCAAUUGGGGGUGCUGCCAUGUACUUGUGCAAUUGGGGGUUCAGCUCAGCAGUUCAGAUUCCAAACCCAACAUACGGCUGGUUGUUUCGAUUCUGACGACUUGAUACAGGUGCUUUGUAAUUCUUGUGCGCGCGUCAGAACGAGGAAUAGCGGGCAUCUCGCCUUGUUGUUAUUGUCCGCAAAUCGUCGUGCUCCCCUCCCCUAAGCGCAUACAGCCGCAAGGCAAGAGGCAUCCAUCCUCGGAGAAGGCCAGAGCAACAUGCCGGCUGCCCUGAUGGGGCUGACGAUGGUCAGGCCACUGAUACAGUCCACUGAGUCCAGCAGCAAGGCAGUUUUGGCGGUGGCACCCGACUCGACGGCAGGCGGCACGGUGGCGGUUGAGGUGGAGCACGUGCACAGGACACUUGGCCGUCCACCGAGCUGAGCUCAUGCAUAGAUAGGCUCGUAAAGCUCGGGAUCUAGCAGGAUGUCGCCGGUGAAGGGGUUGAACAGCAGGGGCCCCGCGGCGCGUGUGGGUGUCGCCCACGACGAGGGCGAGCCACCCAUCUCGCGAGGCGCCGACGCACUGGUGACCUGUGGCGCCUGAUCCUAGUUGAACGGAGUGCAGACCGCCGUGAGGGAGCCUGGCUAGCGCCACCGCCCGCCGCGCAUGGAGGGAGCAGAGCAGGCUCGUCGCGCGGGAGGACAGCGCGGAGCGCCACGCGCCUCUGACGGAACGCGCGGGCGUGGCGGAGCGAGUUGAGAUAUUCCAUUCAGCCUCUGCCGACGCGGCGGCGCUUGCAUCGCCGUCGAGCGUCGAGGACGGAGAAGAGAUUUGGGACCGGUUUGCCGUCGUUUACUUGGGCCUUGUUUAGUUCCGAAAAAAUUUCGGAUUUCUGUAGCACUUUCGUUUGUUUGUGACAAAUAUUAUCUAAUUAUGGACUAACUAGGAUCAAAAGUUUCGUCUCGCGAUUUACAGUUAAACUGUGUAAUUAGUUUUUGCUUUCGUCUAUAUUUAAUACUUUAUGCAUUUGCCGCAAGAUUCGAUGUGACAGAGAAUCUUGAAAACUUUUUGCUUUUUGGAGUGAACAAAACAAGGCCUUGGUAGUUGGUUCUAAACCGUUUUGAGGCCAUCAGGCCAACCCGUUUCAAAGACCUGAGCGGAUUGGGUUCAUUAGCUGGUUUCAGCCCAACCCGUGAACAGGCCUACUUAGAGGAGCAGUACACUGUACACAGAGAACAUUUUCUGAUGCUCUACAUGGCCAUCCAAUCAGCAUAGUCGUCUAAUAUAGCGUUUGGUCUCGUAAUUUUGAGAUGUUACCCAUUCACAGAGUAAUCUGAGUAUUGUUUGGCUCACUUGGGCACAACAUGCAAACUGAUUAUCUACGAUCUGGCGUAGAACCAAACAAAAUGCAAAACUUGUUAUCCUGUAAUCAUCACCCCAAGCAUCUCAUAUACUCAAUCCAUCCUAAAUUAUAAGAAGUUUAACUUUUAUCACCAAGUUUAAUCACCUGUCUUAUUCAAAAAUGUGUGCAAAAUAUCAUUUCUUUUGUCAUGUCUUGGGAUAAAAAAGUCAAACAUCUUAUAAUUUGAGACGGAUGGAGUACCAUUUAUGUCUACAGUAUCAUUUAUGAACCGAACAGCACCUGAGAACGAAAAAUUGGAAUACCAAUUUGGACAUUCAGUUUGAAACAUAGGAUGCCAAACGAGCAACAGCCACAGAAACUAGAAUACACAAUUCAUGGUGUCCAGAUACGAUGCCAAUGCUUGAAAUUAAGAGUGUCAGUAGUGCGGUGCAAAAAUGUCUACCAUCGUAGGAUUUCUGAAUUCAAGACCACAAAAAUUUAGCCACGACACCUAAAGUGUCCAUCUCACAUUUCAACCAAUUGCUGUCGCAGGAUCCUACACGGCACUACUCAUCGUCCUCCUCACCAUCAUCGCCACCGCCUGAGGCCUUCUUCUGGUUCUUCCGCUUCACCCUUCCAGCUGGACCGCCACCUAGAGGGCUGGUGAGGGAGAAGUCAAUGUGCUUCUCUGAUUCGACCCUGACCAUGAACGAGGGGAUGUUGACGAGCUGCCUUCCCACCCUGUGAAAGUACAAUGUUAGAUCAUAAAGGAGACAAAAGUCUCAAAAAUCCAAGUUGCUAAACUGAACUUUUCUGUCAAUCUACCAAACUAUGGCAAGGAUUUAGAUUUAAAAGUAUAAGCAUCUCCAUGAAUAAUUUGGUCUCUUUCACCCCAGCUUGUUAUCUAUGUGGCACACAGAACUAAUUCAGUGAUACAUGUUACAAAAUAUCACUCUGUGCUAAGACGGUACAUGCAAAGCACUCUAUGUUACUAGAACACAAGUAAAGCAAUGAAUUAGAAAGCAACAACAUGAGGCAGAGUUACGACACUGACAACAUGAACCAGGACUGAGUCUGACAGGUUUGAGAAUGGGCAGAACAAGGCAUUCCAUAUAUUGAUUAGAAACUAAAGGAUCUGAAGGAAAUAUGACAACAUAAUCACACAUUGAAAGGAAAAAAAGGAAAACAGAAACAUGUUAUUUGUACUUCCAAUAGGGCACUCAGAAUGAAAAGGACAUAAGAAUCAUUGACCUUCUGGCCUCGGAGAUACAUUAGCAAAAUUAACUCCUCAUUGUGCCCAACAAAACAUAGAAAUAUAUGCAGACAUUCAAAGGAACAUGGCAUGAUGUGCAGGUAUAAAGCAAUUUGCAACAAAAAAACCAGAUUUGCAAAAGUACAGGGAGCUAAUGGACUUGAACUGAAUUGUCAACAUAAUAAAAUUUCUUACCCUUAUUAAACUACAUUAACAAAUAAUAAUAAUAAAGAAUGAAGGAUAAAAGACUGUUAAAACAAUAUACUGAACCACACAUCCCAAAUGUGCAGUGCCACCAGGAUUACACAUUUUUACACUGGAGAAGACAGAGCACGUACCUCACUACAGUAAACAAAAACCACAGAGAAAGGCAAGGGUCAUACAAAACUAUUCAUUAUGGUAAAAGGUAUAGGAAUCAAAUGUAACCAAGGGCAUCAGAGAAACAUGACUGCAACAUUACACACAAAGUGUCUCAGACGACCGUCGUGAGAAUUGCACAUGGUUUUUCAUCAUAUGGCCCAUCCAAGAUCAAAUGUGCCUUUACAACUAACAUACAACCAGCAGCCAUAAAAUAUAAAGAAAACUGAGCACAAACUGGAACAGUAUAUUGCAAACCCAUAACUAUCAUAGGAAAUGCUGGAAUGCCACAAGUCUAAGGAACAGAAGACAUCUACAUCUACAUAUACAAAGAAAACGUAGGAACUGCUCAGACCUGCAAUUACCAACUCUCUAUAUGUGAGCAUUUUAUGAUACAACUGAAAUUGAUGCACAUUUGAGGGAUCAGGACAUAUAAACGUACCUGAUGUGGCGCUGCCUGAUCAGGACACGAGCAUGGUGGAUGGACUUGGCCAUGCCAUUCUUGAAGACAAUGGUCUGGAGGCGGCGCUGGAGGAAGUUCUCAACAGUAAGGGCAAGCACGUAAUCGAGCUUGUUCUGUCCCUCACCCAGGAGACCAUAUCGGUUCAUGCGGCGGAGGAGCGCCUCACCCUCAAAGAUACGGCGUGGGUUCUUCUCAUCCAGAGUGAGAAGCUCCCUGGCUGCAUUUCUGAUACGGCUCAGGGCAUACUGCACGCGCCACAGCUCACGCUUGCAGCGCAGGCCAUACUCACCAACCAGCUUCAGCUCAGCAUCUAGUCGCUCCUUCUCAUACGGACGCCUUGGCUUCUUGAAAGUCUUCCCAUCUGCAACAUGCAACAACAUCAUAAGCUACUGAUUGCACUACAAAAAUUAGCUUUGGGAAAUAACUGAGAGGGGUAUCUGUAACAACUAAACUGUCACAAUCAGUUACUUCCUAGUAUUGAUAACGCAGCUAGAGCCUAUACUAGAUGGUGCUAACCGUUUGACUGGUUGAGCAACAACAAAAAUUGCAAGAAUACUUUAAGGACAUUGUCUGAUACUAUUUGAUUUUAAGGAGUACUAAGCCAGUACAAAGCUUGGCGUUUAGAAUUAUGAUCCAGCACCAUUUCACCCUGAUAUACGGAUUUCAACCUACAUGCAUAUCCGCGCAAUCAGCUCACCUUAAGGGCAAUCCACCAAACUUUAGACUUGACGGAUCAAAGCAAAGCCGAAAGGUAUUGUUCGACCAUCCGAAUUGCUACUAUUAAGUGUAUCCCAAAGGAAAAUUCAUCACUAUAUAUACUGCAUUCCCAACACUACUGGUGGAACAAUCUAGAGAACCGCAAGGAACUAACAGCACGAGCUGGAUCGACCUAGAUAUCUACUGUACGUCUAUGGAAGUCACAAGGCAACAUGCAUAUAAUGCAGUAGAAGAGGGGAUCUUACAGUUGCGGUAGAAGCUAACAUGCACCAUGGCUGCCGCGGCAGGGUGGCGCGGUUGGUCGUCGAGUUGCCGCCGCCGGAGGAAGUGCGAGAGACGGGAGGCGGGGAUGGAAGACGAGAUCUUAUAAGGGAUGUAAACCCUAGCUUUGAUUAGAUGGGCCGGGCUUCAAUAAAUUCUGUCUGUUCACUUAUUUAAGUGUCAUCGGCCCGGUCUGUGUUGCUAUGGGCUUUUUUCGCUAGAUGGGCACCCCGAACGCGGCUCACAGCCCACGUUCUUUUUUGCUCUGGCGACACGCGCACGCGCGCCUGCCGCCUGCCGAACAGUCGUCGACGUCUCCUCGACGAACUCAUGCGACCGAGCCGCGGCGCCCGCCUGCCCAACCCAACCGAGAGCGAUGCCGCCGCGGAAGCCACUGACGGCGCUGCUGAAGUCGGCGACGCGGCCGGUGCACCUGCUCCAGCUCCACGCCCUGAUGCUGAAAUGCUCCCACUUCCCGCACCACGCGUUCCCCACAGCCAGGCUUCUCGCCUCCCCGCUCGCGCCGCUCCCCUACGCGCUCUCCCUCUUCGCCGCCGUCCCGCGGCCCACGCUCUUCCACCACACUGCCGUCCUCCGCGCGCUUUCCUCGUGCCCCUCCGUGGCCUCCCUUUCCGCGUCCCUCUCAGUCCUCGCCUCCGCGCGGGCGCGCCUCCCCGAGCUCGACGAGUUGCGUUCCAGCCGCUGCUCGCGCUCUGCGCGAAAAUGCCCAGUGACGCCGAGGCAGCUUCGGUUGGCAAGCAGGUGCACGCGCUCGUGCUGCGGUACGGGUUCCUGGACGUUGUGAGCCUGCGGAAUGUGCUGUGCCACUUUUACUGCAGCAGUGGGAACAUGGCGGACUCGCGGAGGAUGUUCGAGGAAAUGCCUGAGAAGGACGCUGUGUCGUGGAACACGGUGAUUGGGGGCUAUGUCAGGGUAGAGGAUGUGGGCACAGCUUUGCAGAUGUUCACCGCGAUGAGGUGGUCUGGAGUGGAUGUCAACGUGACGGCAGUGAUCACCUUGAUUGGGUGUGGCUGGCAAGGGGAGUCAGUGCAUGGCUUAUGUGUUAAGACAGGGCUCUGCGACGAUGUGAAGAUUGCAGCAGCAAUGAUGGGGAUGUAUGUGAGGGAGGGCAGCGUUGAGUGUGCAAAUAAGGUGUUUCAUGAGACCACUAGACGAGACUUGGUGCUGUGUAAUUGUAUGGUGGAUGGCUAUGCAAAGGCAGGGCAGAUUCGUGAGGCGAUGGACUUGAUUGAUGGAAUGAGACAGCACGGGAUGAGACCUAGUUCAGGGACGCUUGUGGGUGUUCUCUCUGCGUGUGGAACAUCUGGGGCAUUGGCAGCCGGUCAUUCUGUCCAUGAGCUUGCUGAAGAUGCACGGCUUGAGAUUGACAGCACGCUUGGGACAGCGCUCAUGGACAUGUACUUCAAGUGUGGGUGCCCCAGCGAGGCAGCUGCAGUCUUCGAUGCAAUACGAAAUAGGGACGUGAAGGCAUGGACAGCGAUGAUCAUGGGAUUCGGAGUUAAUGGGCAGCCAGGCUCAACCAUCACCUUGUUCUACAGGAUGGAGGAAGACGGUGUGUUUCCUAAUGACGUCACCUUCCUAGCCCUGCUAACUGCUUGUAACCAUGGCGGGUUGGUGCAGGAAGCGAAAGAAUUCCUUGAGACAAUGGCACGGCGAUACAGAUUGUCUCCAAGCCCCGAGCACUACAGCUGCGUCAUUGAUCUCCUGGGAAGAGCAGGGCGCCUAUACGAAGCCUAUGAGCUCAUACAAAGCGUGUCAUCCCAGGGUGAUGCUACUGCAUGGAGAGCGUUGCUUGCAGCCUGCAGAGUGUAUGGCAAUGUGAAGCUGGGGAGGAUGGUGCAGGAAUAGUUGGACGCCAUUGGCCACUACCAUCCUUCAGAUGCCAUUCUGCUGUCAAACGCGUACGCAUUGGAAGGCCGGUGGGAUGAGAUAGCUCAGCUGAGGGAUUCAGAAGCACAGAAAAUAUCUGUGGAGAAGGAAACAGGCUGCAGCUCCAUUAUUGUGUCUUGCUGAUGUAUUCAGACUUGCUGAAUUUAAGCAACUAACAACUGAACUCAAGGUGGGAUUCCCAGGCAGACUAGCUUUUGAUCGGGGUUAUCCAAACUUGUACAGAACUAAAUAUAAAUAGAAGAGUGAUUAAAAUGUUUUCUAGAAUCGGGUCAACUUUGAACUGCUUGGUUCAACUUGUAUAUGUAGCCAAUGGCGUCCAACUGUGCCUGCAACCUGCAGAUUGACAACUAGUAGUAAGAAAAGAGACCGAAGGUUGGAAAUAGAUAAAAGGUGAGAUAGAAUGUCCAUAAGGAUUGUGUACCCAAAGCCUGUUUAGGAUAAACAGACAACAAAGUUGUUCAGUAGCUGAUAUGUAUUAGGAAGAGUGGAACUUGGAGUUUAUGAAAAAACUUGGAGACGAUGAUGUAGAGGAAUGGGAGAAACUAAUGGCGUCUUUGGAAAUGUGGAGGUGACUAGUGAGGAGAAUAGCUGGGGUUAUAUAAGCUUGAAUCCACUGGCAAGUUCUCCAUAAAAUCUCUCUAUAUAGGUUGAUGACCUUGGAGUGGUGGUUGAUCAAAAAAUGAAAGACAUUUGGGACACUAGGUUACCUCUAAAAAUAAAUUUUUUGUGUGUGUAUGAUUUAGGCAUAAAAGUGGAACUGGUGAGCAUUUGAAGAGGAGAAAGUGGAAAGGCAGCUAUCUUCCUCUUUAUUCCCACAAAACAAAAUAUGAAUAUUUUUGGCAUGUAGGUCGAUUUAGUUCUACCAUUAGUUAAACUUAAAAAUGUUAUCGGGUUUAUAAAUAAUUGAAUUUGAAAAUGUAAUAAGGAGCAACGAGUUUCUUGCGUGCUACUACAAGAGAUGAGGAAGACGAAUAACGAGGACAAGGUGUGGUCAAAGUGACUCUCACUACUUUACCCUAUUGUUGGAUAGAUUGCAUUGUGUCGAAGUGAGGUCGUUGGUGUCAAUGAUGAGUGUGUACGAACACAGAAAAAUUAUCCUUAAAGGACAUAUGUCCCAUGUGCAUUACCAACACAAACACUUUGCUAAGGGCACAUGCCCCAUAUGCAUCAUUGGUAAGCACGAAGCACAUCUGGGUAUGUUUAGUUUCUCAUGACUAAAAUUUAACUAUUAAAAUCAAUUACUAAAACUUUAGUCGCCCCUAUUUCGUUCCAGUGACUAAAAGUUACUGAAGGCCAUGAAAUCAGUUCAACAAAGACCAAACUAUGGUGGGGGACUAGAAAUAAUGAGGGGCAACCCCUGUCCACUUGGCACUUUAGCCCACUUUAGUCAUUCCUGAUGUACUAAUAUGACUAAACUACUUUAGUCCCAUUUUAGUCAAUUUGUUUGGCAGUUUAGUAGCUGAAGUGAGGGGAAAACCAAAUAGGCCCCUUACGAUCCUAUUAGCUAGAGGAAGGUCCGAAGUCUAAACAAAUGCCUACUUUAGGGACUUGAACUUUAGCUCACGAGGUAGGCGAUGGUAGAACUGAAGUCCACGAUGGUGCCACCUACGACAUCUUUCACCUUAAAAGUAGAACGUGUUUACCAAACGUUUUUUUUAACUAAUGAAGUUGGAGCCAAAUGACGACCAAAGUGUUGUGAUCCGAGGUGAUGGUGGGGGUUUGUGCCCGGCCGCUAAAUCCGCCUCUGACUGGUACAGUAGCUGAGGCACUUGAACAACUCGUACUGAUGCUCGUCGGUUUAUUUCUAUGGCUUUUCCAUACUUGGUGAUGCUGGUGCCAUCCAUCCACAAGUGACCAUCUGCAUCCAUUGUUGGCCCGUAAAUCUGUGACCUUCUUGAUGGCACGAACGAACUGGUGACUGGACCCUCGUUGAGGUAGUUUUGGAACACAAUCGCUGGCCUAGAUUCCAUCUACAGUGGUGUUGUUGAUUGUGUGCUACCUUCGAUCCUUGUUGCCUCCACAGUUGGCUCUGUGCUACCUUCUGCGGAUACUGACACCGAAUCUCCCGUAGUCGACGCAGCUGAGGGGUACAAAUUAACCUAUAAUAAUUGUUAAAAAAAAUUAACAUAACAAAUUGAUAACACAGAAUACUGAAUUGUUUUUUUCAGAGUAGUACACACAUUGUGAGAGGGGGGCAAGCAAAUUAAACAAAAGAGCACGAUCGAGUACCUACCUUGAUACUGCUCGGAUGGAUGAAAAUAGUGGGGAGCGCUAGGUGGGGAGGCGGAACUGCGCUAUACACCCCGUGCGAUGCCUCCUCCUGCCUCGAGAAAGCGAUCGGGACGGUCGCUUCGUCCCUGAAGACGAUCACCGCCAUGCCCAGGUGUCGGCACAAGGCGAUCGCCUCGAUGGCGCCGAACCGCGCCAGAUCGGCGCGCAGGUCGUCGUCGCCAUUGUCGGGGAAGAACAAGUCGAGACGCUGGGCGAGGAUGCUGCGGCUAUGGAAACUGGCCGGGUCCCCGGAGAGUUGGCUCCCUGCGGCUGCGGCUGCGGGGGCCAGGAGGUCGCGCGCCAGGGUCGCCCUCUCCACGACGUGACCGUACAUGCGCCGUAGGUUUUCUAGGGUCACCAUGUUUGUUUCUUGGAUGGAUCUCUGCUGGGUGCCCUUACUCUGGUUGCCUUGUGUGUUCCUGGAUCUUUGUUACGCGCGUGCAUGCGUGUAUAUAUACAAAAGUACUACUAGUAUAUGCGGAGGGCAUGGCAUCGGAUCGGACACGGAAACAGACUCCGAACCAGAUAGACUUCGCAUGCUAACGGACUACAUACGGUGGGUGUAACAAGAUAUAGUUUAUAUUUCAAUAGCAAAACAUUUAAAACAUCAAUAAAAGUGUGGAUAAGUAUUUCAACAUGUACAAAUAUUUAAAUCAAUUAAUAAAUUUGAAUAUAUAAAAAUAAUGCAUAAUGAAUAUGUAAAUAUAGUAAAGUACUUAAAAUUAGUAUGACUAUACAUAUUAAAGUUAACUAAACUUGUCCUUUAUAUAUCAUAAACUAUGAUGUUAUUUUUAAUAGUUUUGCAUUAUCAUAAAUAUAAGUUUUAAAUUAUAAAAAAAUAAACUUAACAUUUAUGAUUAGUCAUAUUAGCAAUAUAGCUAACUUUUAAAAGGUUUAAAUGAGUUAUAUUAAAAAAAGUAUCAUUUAGAUUGUGAAUUAGUCAUAAAUAUAAUUUCACACGGUACAUUGUUCUUCAUGGUAUAGAUAACAUUGGAUAUUUUACAUUUUUCAAAUAUGGAUGUGGAACUAGAUAGAGAAGAAUCAUGAAAAACAUAUAUUUGAAUAUAUCCAUCUAGUAUCCAUAUUGAAAUCGGAUACAAAUACAGAUAACCAUAUCAACAUUCAGACUGAUAUGUAUAUAAGAUCUUUUGGACAUUUAGACAUCCAAAUCCAUCCCUAAAGUUGUCUUAGAAAAUCCAAGAUACUACAUAAAGAUUCUAAAAUCCAUGAUUUAGUCAUUCUUCUAAAAUAAAACAUCCUAAAAAACCAUAGUACUACAACAAUCUUUAUAAAUUUUCUAGUUUCAAAAUUUAAAACAAGCCCGACGCACCCAUGGCGCUUGGCGCAUAGUCUAGCGCCUACGGUAAAGUUUAUUUUGCCCUUAGACCAGUCUCAAUGCAUGUUUUAUAAGAGUGUCAUGCACAUUAAAUAGGAUGCCACAUAAGCAAAAUUACUGACUUGGCACGGUCAUUAAAUGAAGAAGUUUCAUCAGAUGAGAGAAGAGUUUCAUCCGCAUAAAACUCAUAUGGCUCGAUUACCUAGUUUGUAGUUUUGGUAACUGUGCCAUGAAACUAUGCAGUGAGACUGGCCUUACGGACAUGUGCCCUCACUCUCCCACCCAUUGAAUUCGCUUUGAGAAGUGUGCAAACGCACAUCUCAAUGCGAAACUGUUUUAAGAUGUGUGUUUGCACACUUCUCAAAGCAAAUUUAAUAGAUGAGAGAGUGAGGACAUGUACCAUUAGGCUCAAUGCAUAGUUUCAUGGCACAGUUACCAAGACUAUAAACUAGGUAACCGUGCCACAGAAGUUUCAUGGGGAUGAAACUCCUCUCUCAUCUGAUGAAACUCCUUCAUUUAAUGACUCUGUCAAGUCAGUAAUUUUGCUUAUGUGGCACCCUAUUUAAUGUGCAUGAUACUCCCAUGAAACAUGCAUUGAGAAAAAAAAACCGCCUUCAUACAUCUACAAGCUCUUCAAUGCGACCAACGUCCCGGACCCGUGUAUGAAGUGAACUAGGACUAUAAAUUCUAGCAAACGCACAUCGAACAGAAGAAUUUUCUCUAUAUUCUAGCAAAGGCAUACAAGGGAAACUACAAUAUCUUGUCAGGGACAGAAAAGGCAGCUCAAAUGUAAUAUACGGUACGGCAGUACGCACGAGAUCAUUUAUCAUACACGUGUAUGAAAACUACAAAAGGAAAAGAUGGCUGAGCUUCAGUUCACUGCAGCAACUGGGCCAUGACAUCUUGAGCGAUGACCCCAGCGUGGUGAGCAUCAGGCACUCGACUACACUCCACGAACCCAAGACCUGCCCAGGUAUUCUGAGGCUCCCUUAAUAGCCUGGCUGCACUGUGCCAACAUCUGAAGACAGCCAACGCCAAUCCACUCUUGUCUAGUGCCACAUUGUAUAGGUCACCAAACACAGAAAGUCUAACUGAGAGAUCAAAACAUGAAGUGCCCUCAACAACACCUGAUAGAAGCAAGGAUCUCUCCGGAAAGUCACCUCUGAGAACAGAAUCAGGGGAUACCAGAGUGCAAGACCUGAUAAGACAGUGGAGGAUCCCAAUAGUGUCACCAUCGCUAAGUCUCGCCUCUUGAUCAGACAUCCAGUCUCUCACGCGUUGAAACGCUGCAGUUUCCAUCCAGUACCUCGCCUCCAUCCUGUCGGACUGCUGCUCAGGAGAGAUAUCAGAAGAUGCUGACUCAAAUCCAAAGGCACUUGCGAAGCUAGGUUUCUGUCCAAAGAAACGUAUCCAUGUCUCCUCAGGUGUUUGUAGCAAACACAUUGUGUCCUCUGAGCUUCCAAGCACCACAACAAUGAGUCCCUCUGACCGGUGGAUUAUCACGGCCUCAACUGUGUGAACAAGAUCGGUUUCAAACCGCAGGAAGUGUGCAAGGUCUGCUGCAUCGAGCUUCUGCGUAUCCAGCCCAGUGAACAGGAGGACGCGGCGCCUGUAACUCUCGUCGUCGUCUAUGACACAUUGUGGCAGCAGCCGCCGGAGCAAGGUGGCAUCUCGGUCAGCAGGAUCAGCAAGUAAUGGAAAGAGUGACGAAUCAAACAGCUGAAGUCCCCUCUUUUUCAGCAAAUGAGGUGCCCUCCGGGCCACCAGCGCCGUGCUCUCGGUGUCAUCGUACACCAGGACGCCGGCUUGUCGAUCCCUGUGGACGAUUGCGGCAACCACAUACCCCCGAGCAAAAAGCACCUUCCAUGCCAAGUCACAUAAUCCAUAGGCUCCUUCGCUGAUCGGGGAUCUGCCAGCUCCAAUAAGAACGCAUCUCAGGUGGAACUCCCCAUCUUCAUCAGCAAGAAUGUACUGGGACGGUAGAAGCGACCGGAGCAUUCUGGCUGUGCAUCUCCUCACGAACUCGUCGGCAACACCGUCGAGGAUGUAUGAGCGUGAGACCUCCUCGUCGUGCCAGGUAGCCUAUUCAGUGAGAGUCAGAGACAAUAUUUCAGUUUGAAUGGAUUGUGCAUUAGACAGUAUUUCAGUUUUCGAAUGGAUUAAGCAUCAGCAUUACUGUGACGUUCAGAAUUGAUAGACAGACACACAAAAGGGUCACGGGAAGAUGACAGUGAGGACUCACCGGAGUGCAGGUGGCAUAGAGACCUUCGCGUGGUGUCUGAAUCGUAGCUGCAGCACUGUCAAUAGCAUCAAAGAAGACUAGAAGCCCAAUCCUGAAGCCAGUCUGGCUGUCCCGUACUAAAACUGCCGUCUGCACACCCAGUAUGCUCUGAAUCAAGUCGCACGGACUGACACUGGCUGGAACGCCGUCAAGCAGUAGACAUCUCUCAAGAAAGUGGGGGUCCUCCAGUACAUGUGGUGCCACGGUAUUCAGGACCGCGAUCAAAUUCCUCAUGUAGCUGAAAGCCCGACCCUUCCUCUGCAAUGCAAUCGCGUGAACAAACGUCAGUAGAGCAAAACUGAAUGAACGAAACUGCAGUGACGGUCGUUCGGUCGGCUAAAAGAAAGUAAUUCACGGAGCAAGAACAACACUGCAACAGCAGUUUGCAGGGCAAGAAGCCAAGAACACGGGGAGAAAAGAUAGCAAACAACAAUUCGCCGCGAAUUCAUGUUCCAUUCUUUCUCGCCUUGCAGGGGCAACAACAACACCGGGAGCAACACUAAUCCGCGCGCAAGGACACGAGGAGCAAAACAGAACAAAAGCAAUUCGCCGCAAAUUCCUGUCCCUAUCACCGAAAGCCAACAGCGAGUUCACCGCGAAUUCACCUCCCUUUCUUUUUCUCUCCGAACAGGGGCAAAAACCGAGGAGCAAGACAGAAUGGAACGAACAGCAAUCCGUGACAAAUUCCUCCCUUCCUCUGACGAAAGAACAACCGUAAGGCAACAGCGAUUCGCGUGGCAAGAACACGACGUGCAAAGCAGAAUGGAACGAAGACCAGUUUACUGCGAAUUCAUCACCUCCCUUCUUUCUCACCGAGCUCCGAGCAUGUGUAAUGUAAGGACAACACCGGAAGGCGACAGCAAUUCGCGAGUCAAGAACACGACGGGCAAAACACAAUGAACAAACAGCAAUCCGCGCGAAUCCUUUGCCCUUUCUUUCUCGGCGAGGAGGGCAAGAACAACCGGAUGGCAACAGCGAUUCGCGAGGCAAGAACACGACGCGCAAAAAAGAAUGGAACGAACAUCAGUUCACCGCGAAUUGACCUCCCUUCUUUCUCACCGAGCAGGUGCACAAACAACUCCGGAAGCCAACAGCAAUUGCGGGUCAAGAACAUGACGGCCUGAUACAGAAUGAAGAAACAGCAAUUCGUGCGAACUCCCCUCUCUUUCUUGCUCCGCGAGCAGGGCAAGAACAACCGGACGCCACCCGCAAUUUGCGAGGCAAGAACACGACGGGCACAAAUUCGACGCGGAAUCGCGAAUUCCUCUCCCACCGGGCAAGAACACGACGGCCAAAAGAGCAAUGAACACGAUUACACGACCGGCAAGGAAACAACAGGAGAAAAGAAGAGCAAGAACGGCAAACAAGAAGACCGGAGGUAGGGGAAAGCACCUGUCUGGAAUGCCACAGGCCAGAGAGUAUGACGGGACGCGCACGCGCCGAAAUGGCACCGGCCGGAGGUGGGCGAGCCAUCUUCACCGGAGAAGAGAGCUUCGGGUCGCUGGAGAGGAAGAAGGCUUCGGAGGGUUUCUUCGGGUUUUCCCGUGAGGUUUGAGAGGUCGCGAGGGAGGGAAAAACAGGGGUUGGCGUUCUGUCAGGGCUCCGGCUUUUGUUUGCCAAACCGUCUUUCCCUGGAGAGAGGCCGAGGCGGCCUGAACUGAGACGAUGCAAGGGCCAGCCCGAGGUAUUCAUGUUUUGAUGUUCAUGGGCCCAAUUUGGUAUGGUUCCUGCCCUGAUGUGAUCAGAAUGUGUUUUUUUUAAUUAAGCGAUGGAAUGGUUUUCUUUGGUCAAUGACCUGAAGACCGCAAGAGGCAUCCUGAUGUUGAAUGGCUUGUGUACCAUGACUACCAUCAAGGCUUCAGUGACUUGAAGACCGAAACAGAGGCACUCAGUAUCUACAUACUGCAUACUAUCAACAAUUGCUGCAUAAUGCAAGCAAUUGCUGUAGUUUCGUAUGCAUUACUGUCCAGGUUUCUGGAACUGUAUAGGCCCGUCAACCAGCCGCUCUAUGAACUGGUUCCGCUUUUAUCUUUCCUUUGCACAAAAUUCAGUAAAAUGCAAUUGGGGGUGCUGCCAUGUCCUUGUACAAUUGGGGGUUCAGCUCAGCAAUUCAGAUUCCAAACCCAACAUACGGCUGGUUGUUUCGAUUCCGACGAGUUGAUACAGGUGCUUUGUAAUUCUUGUGCGCGCGUCAGAACGAGCAACAGCCCUAAGCGCAUGCAGCCGCAAGGCAAGGGGCAUCCAUCCUCGGAGAAGGCCAGAGCGACAUGCCGACUGCCCUGAUGGCUGACGAUGGUCAGGCCACUGAUACAGUCCACUGAGUCCAGCAGCAAGGCAGUUUUGGCAGUGGCACCCGACUCGACGGCAGGCGGCACGGUGGCGGUUGAGGUGGAGCACGUGCACAGGACACUUGGCCGUCCAUCGAGCUGAGCUCAUGUCGUAAAGCUCGGGAUCUAGCAGGAUCUCACCGGUGAAGGGGUUGAACAGCAGGGGCCCCGCGGCGCGUGUGGGCGUCGCCCACGACGAGGGCGAGCCACCCAUCUCGCGAGGCGCCGACGCACUGGUGACCUGUGGCGCUGAUCCUAGUGGAACGGAGUGCAGACCGCCGUGAGGGAGCCUGGCUAGCGCCACCGCCCGCCGCGCGUGGAGGGAGCAGAGCAGGCUCGUCGCGCGGGAGGACAGCGCGGAGCCGCGAGAACGGCGACGGGAGCGCGGAGCGCCACGCGCCUCUGACGGAACGCGCGGGCGUGGCGGAGCGAGUUGAGAUAUUCCAUUCAGCCUCUGCCGACGCGGCGGCGCCUGCAUCGCCGUCGAGCGUCGAGGACAGAGAAGAGAUUUGGGACCGGUUUGCCGUCGUUUACUUGGUAGUUGGUUCUAAACCGUUUUGAGGCCAUCAGGCCAACCCGUUUCAAAGACCUGAGCGGAUUGGGUUCAUUAGCUGGUUUCAGCCCAACCCGUGAACAGGCCUAGAGGAGCAGUACACAGAGAACAUUUUUUGAGGCUCUACAUGGCCAUCCAAUCAGCAUAUAGUCGUAUAAUGUAGCGUUUGGUUUCGUAAUUUUGAGAUGUUACCCAUUCACAGAGUAAUCUGAGUUUUGUUUGGCUCAGUUGGGCACUUGCGUAAUCAGGCCCCGUGUAAUCAGGUCUGAGGUUAGUGCAAAUCCAGCGCUAACGGUUACCACAGCUCCACGGACCAAGGGCCAUAGGCGAACCUGAACGAAAUACACAACAUGCAAACUGAUUAUCUACGAUCUGGCGUAAAUGCAAAACUGGUUAUCCUUACUCAAUCCAUCCUAAAUUAUAAGAAGUUUAACUUUUGACACCAAGUUUAAUCACCUGUAUUAUUCAAAAAUGUAUGCAAAAUAUCAUUUCUUUUGUCAUGUCUUGGGAUAAAAAAGUCAAACAUCUUAUAAUUUGAGACGGAUGGAGUACCAUUUAUGUCUACAGUAUCAUUUAUGAACCGAACAGCACCUGAGAACGAAAAGUUGGAAUACCAAUUUGAUUCAGACAUUCAGUUUUAAACAUAGGAUGCCAAACGAGCAAAUAGCCACCGAAACUAGAAUACACAAUUCAUGGUGUCCAGAUACGAUGCCAAUGCUUGAAAUUAAGAGUGUCAGUAGUGCGGUGCAAAAUUGUCUACCAUAGUAGGAUUUCUGAAUUCAAGACCACAAAAAUUUAGCCACGACACCUAAAGUGUCCAUCUCACAUUUCAACCAAUUGCUGUCGCAGGAUCCUACAUGGCAUUACUCAUCGUCGUCCUCACCAUCAUCGCCACCGCCUGAGGCCUUCUUCUGGUUCUUCCGCUUCACCCUUCCAGCUGGACCGCCACCCAGAG
rnacentral:lncRNA from 1 species